GGUCUCUCACAUGCAUUGUUCCCCGUUAUAGAAAAGCAGCUCAGCAAACCCACUCUGAUCACCCAGAUGGAACAGGAAGAUGAAAUGAAAACAGAGACAGGAAGUCACCAAGAUAUCUAUGGGAUGGUUCUCCUUAAAACCAAACAAGCACAACAUAAGCAAGAUACUUCGGAGAAAGAAGCACUCAGUGGCAGGAAGGGGCAAACUCAUGGAGCAAGAUCCAUUGAACAGAAUAAAAUUGCCUUGAGCUUGAAAUCUAGCAUCACUUGGAAUCAGAGAAUUCAUCCUGGUGAGAAUCCCCAUCAACCCCUUCAUCUUGGGAAAGCCCUCAGAGAUUGGAUACACCUUAACCCACAUGAGAACAUUGUUUCUGGGG
rnacentral:lncRNA from 1 species